GAUUAACGCUGGCGGCGUGCAUAACACAUGCAAGUCGAACGAUGAAACUUAACUGAUUUCUUCGGAAUGAUUUUAAGUGGAUUAGUGGCGGACGGGUGAGUAACGCGUGAGUAACCUGCCUUGGAGAAGGGGAUAGCCUUUGGAUACGAAGAAUAAUACCCUAUGAUAUGAUAAUAUCUCAUGAUAUUAUCAUCAAAGAUUUAUCGCUCUAAGAUGGACUUGCGUCUGAUUAGUUAGUUGGUGAGGUAACAGCUCACCAAGGCAGCGAUCAGUAGCCGGCUUGGGGGAGUGUACGACAACAUUGGGACUGGGACAAGGCCCAGACUCCUACGGGAGGGAGCAGUGGGGAAUUAUGCACAAUGGGGGAAACACUGAUGCAGCGACGCCGCGUGAUUUAGAAGGCCUGCGAGUUGUAAAGAUCUUUUGUAUGGGAAGAAAAUGACAGUACCAAACGAAUAAGGACCGGCUAAUUACGUG
rnacentral:rRNA from 1 species